rnacentral:rRNA from 1 species
UACGUAGGGUGCAAGCGUUGUCCGGAAUUAUUGGGCGUAAAGAGCUCGUAGGCGGUUUGUUGCGUCGGCUGUGAAAUCCCGAGGCUCAACCUCGGGUCUGCAGUCGAUACGAGCAAACUAGAGUGUUGCAGGGGAGACUGGAAUUCCUGGUGUAGCGGUGAAAUGCGCAGAUAUCGUUUGGAACGCCGAUGGUGAAAACAGGUCGCUGGGGCUGUGCUGACGCUGAGACACGAAAGCCAGGGGAGCGAACGGG